GGGGUAAAAUUAAAAAAUUAUAAUUAAUAAAAAAAAUUUUAAUAUUAAAAAUAAAUAAAUGGGGGUUUAAGUAUUUUUAAUAGAAAAAAUUAAUAUUUUUAUAGUUAAAUAUUACUGUAAAGGAAUGUAUAAAAUAAUUGAAAGAAAAAUUAAUUAAAAAGUAAAUUUAAUUUAUUGUAUCUUGUGUAUCAGAGUUUAUUAAAUAAUAAUAAUUUAAUUAAAUAAAUCUCGAAUUUAAAAGAGUUAAUUAGUUAAAAAAUUUAAUGUUGUAUAAUUAUUUUUAAUAAUUAAUUGGAAAUGAAAUGUUAAUCGUUUUUAAAUAUAUCUAGUUUUUUUAGAAAAAAAUUUAAUUUAAAAUUAAAAUAAUUUUAUAAUUAUUUAAUUAAUUAUGAAAAUUUAAAAUUUAAUAUUUUAGGGGAUAAGCUUUAAAUUAAAAAUUUAUAAUUAAAUUAAUUAUAAAUUAAAAUUUUUAAUAUUUAUAUUGUUUAAAAAUUAUAAUUUAUUAUAAAAAAUUUUAAUAAAAAAUAAAAUUUAAAAUAAAAUUUAAAUUUUUAUAAAAAAAUAAUUUGUAAUUAAAUAAAAUUAGUAAUAAUGUAUAUAUAUAUAUAUAUAUAUAUAAUUUAAAUAAAAAUUUAUUGAAAAGUAAAUUAAAGGAAUUCGGCAAAAAUUUAUGUUCACUUGUUUAUCAAAAACAUGUCUUUUUGAUUUUAAUUUAAAGUCUAAUCUGCCCACUGAUAUUAUAAAUUAAAGGGCUGCAGUAUAUUGACUGUACAAAGGUAGCAUAAUCAUUAGUCUUUUAAUUGAAGACUUGUAUGAAAGAUUUGAUGAGAUAUAAACUGUCUCUAUUUUAAAAUUAGAAAUUAAUUUUUUAGUAAAAAAGCUAAAAUAAGAUUAAAAGACGAGAAGACCCUAUAGAGUUUUAUAUUUUAUUUUUUUUUUAUAAAAAUAUAUAAUUAAUUAGGAAAUAAAAUAAAGUAUUUUAUUGGGGUGAUAGAAAAAUUUAAUAAACUUUUUUUAUUUUUUAACAUAAAUAAGUGAAUUAUUGAUCCAUUAUUAAUGAUUAAAAGAAAAAAUUACCUUAGGGAUAACAGCGUAAUAUUUUUUUUUAGUACGAAUAAAAAAAAAAGUUUGCGACCUCGAUGUUGGAUUAAGAUAAAAUUUAAAUGCAGAAGUUUAAAAUUUUGAUCUGUUCGAUCAUUAAAAUCUUACAUGAUCUGAGUUCAAACCGGUGUGAGCCAGGUUGGUUUCUAUCUUUAAUAAAUAAAAAUAUUUUAGUACGAAAGGAUUAAAUAUUUAAAAUAAUUUUAUUUAUUUGAAUAUUAUUAAAUAUGAAUUUA
rnacentral:rRNA from 1 species